GGCAAUCGGCCGAUCCUUGACUGUAGCACCAAUCGGCCGAUUUCCAACCGUGACCUCUGUGUCUUGCCGCAUCUCCUGAUUUCUUCCUUUCCUGAUGCCGAUUUCAUACGUGUCAAAAUCUGGCGUCAACACAUGCCCCCCAGUUUCGGAGUAAAACAUAGUCUUUACUUCGAAAUUCUUUUCAACUUCCCUUCCGAAACAAACGCAUUGAAAAUAUCCUUCCGUUUCAUGGUCUCCAGCCUGAUGAUUGCAAUCUUUUCGAAACGGGCGCCCACGACAACCACUCCUCCCGAAAAAAUCAAAACACCGGCGCGGUAAAAAUUCCGCUUUUACCCCUCCUCAGACCACCUUUAAAUAUCAGCAUGUCCCGUACUCCCCUUAUGAGCUCACGUCCUCUUUCUUUAGCGCACGGGCCUUCUUCUUCCUCCGGCGCCUUCCUUAGCUUCCAGGUUUUUCCCUGGCGUCUCCUUCCAUCCAC
rnacentral:lncRNA from 1 species